AAUGAACGCUGGCGGCAGGCCUAACACAUGCAAGUCGAACGAAGUCUUCGGACUUAGUGGCGGACGGGUGAGUAACGCGUGGGAACAUACCCAAAGGUACGGAAUAGCCUCGGGAAACUGGGAGUAAUACCGUAUGUGCCCUUCGGGGGAAAGAUUUAUCGCCUUUGGAUUGGCCCGCGUUGGAUUAGGUAGUUGGUGGGGUAAUGGCCUACCAAGCCGACGAUCCAUAGCUGGUUUGAGAGGAUGAUCAGCCACACUGGGACUGAGACACGGCCCAGACUCCUACGGGAGGCAGCAGUGGGGAAUCUUAGACAAUGGGCGCAAGCCUGAUCUAGCCAUGUCGCGUGAUCGAUGAAGGCCUUAGGGUUGUAAAGAUCUUUCAGAUGGGAAGAUAAUGACGGUACCAUCAGAAGAAGCCCCGGCUAACUCCGUG
rnacentral:rRNA from 1 species